UACGUAGGUGGCAAGCGUUGUCCGGAUUUAUUGGGCUUAAAGGGUGCGUAGGCGGCCCUGUAAGUCAGUGGUGAAAUAUCCCAGCUUAACUGGGAGGGUGGCAUUGAUACUGCGGGGCUAGAGUACAGAUGAGGUAGGCGGAAUUGACGGUGUAGCGGUGAAAUGCUUAGAUAUCGUCAAGAACACCUAUAGCGAAGGCAGCUUACUAGGCUGUAACUGACGCUGAGGCACGAAAGUGUGGGGAGCAAACAGG
rnacentral:rRNA from 1 species